CAAACGGUGAUACGUAAAGUGUGUUGAGAACUAUUUUGAAUGAUAACAGGCUUGGAGUAAAACAAGGUUUAGGUAAAACCAGAUUUUCUGUGACAGGGGUGUCAGAAAGUGGUGUGUUGGUGACUGCCUAACCAUUAUCUCUAAGCCUUCCAUAGUGGGGGAAGCCUGUCUGAAGCACCAGAGUAGCUGGAAGAAGAGAGAAGGUACAAGUCCCUGCAUCCAGAUCCACUCACGGUCACUCCAGGAGGAAAACAAUGAACUGGACCAUGUGGAGAGACGGUGACAGCACACACAUUCCAAAAGGGAGAGGGAACUCUGCCAGGCGCACUGGGAACGAGCUAAAAAUUUGGAGCUCAUCUGCCUUGUAAUAGCAUCUUCAUAGACAAAACAGCAACAGUCGUUCUUCCGCUGAGGCCUGUGACUUUCCUGGGUACAGGUGUCUCCAGUUUCCAGUACCACAUGCAAAUAUCGCCCCAUGGAGUGGGCCUUAAAUCCAAUCAGAAAGUCAGUUCUGGGGCUGGAGAGAUGGCCUCAACAGUUAAGAGAACUGGCUGCUCUUCCAGAGGACCCAGGUUCAAUUCCCAGCACCUCCCCCCCACAGCACCUUACAACUGUCUGUAAUCCAGCUCCAAGUGAUAUGACAUCCUCACACAGUCAGAAAUGCAUGUAAAGUAAAAAUAAAUAAAUCAUAAAAAAGAAGGCGGCUCUAUCUAUACCCACUCAAGCCAUAUUGCACUAGCUGGCGCAUCAUGCCUCGCACUCCAUCUGAAGCAUGCGCAUCAUGCCUCGCACCCCAUCUGAAGCAUGCGCAUCAUGCCUCACACCCCAUCUGAAGCAUGCACAUCAUGCCUCGCACCCCAUCUGAAGCAUGCACAUCAUGCCUCGCACCCCAUCUGAAGCAUGCACAUCAUGCCUCGCACCCCAUCUGAAGCAUGCGCAUCAUGCCUCGCACUCCAUCUGAAGCAUGCGCAUCAUGCCUCGCACUCCAUCUGAAGCAUGCACAUCAUGCCUCGCACCCCAUCUGAAGCAUGCACAUCAUGCCUCGCACCCCAUCUGAAGCAUGCGCAUCAUGCCUCGCACUCCAUCUGAAGCAUGCACAUCAUGCCUCGCACCCCAUCUGAAGCAUGCACAUCAUGCCUCGCACUCCAUCUGAAGCAUGCAGAAGCCUCAGCUGCUAGUACUUUGGACCACAGUUCCCUCCAGCAGCCUUACAGUUCCUUCUGGUACUAUAAAAGCUAGCCCACAGAGAAGGGAUUUUUGGCUUAGCUGCAGUAUUUGAGUCUUGCAACCAAAGCAUGUGACAUAUUUAGCAACAGACUCUUUUUCUUUUUGAGACAGGAUUUCUUUGUGUAGCCCUGGUUAUCCUGGGACUCACUCUGUAGACCAGGCUGGCCUCAAACUCACAGAGAUCUGCCUGCCUCUG